AUUAUGGCUCAGGAUGAACGCUAGCGGCAGGCUUAACACAUGCAAGUCGAGGGGCAUCGGGAGUAGCAAUACUGCCGGCGACCGGCGCAAGGGUGCGUAACGCGUGAGCAACAUGCCCGUAUCAGGGGGGAUAAUCCAUGGAAACGUGGUCUAAUACCCCAUAGUAAUUAUGUAAGGCAUCUUAUAUAAUUUAAAGCUUUGGUGGAUACGGAUUGGCUCGCGUGACAUUAGCUGGAUGGUAAGGUAACGGCUUACCAUGGCUACGAUGUCUAGGGGUUCUGAGAGGAAGGUCCCCCACACUGGAACUGAGACACGGUCCAGACUCCUACGGGAGGCAGCAGUGAGGAAUAUUGGACAAUGGAUGGAAAUCUGAUCCAGCCAUGCCGCGUGCAAGGAAGACGGCCCUAUGGGUUGUAAACUGCUUUUGUAUGGGAGCAAUAAGGGCUACGUGUAGUCCGAUGAGAGUACCAUACGAAUAAGCACCGGCUAACUCCGUGCCAGCCGCAGC
rnacentral:rRNA from 1 species